rnacentral:rRNA from 1 species
UACAGAGGCCUCGAGCGUUAGGCGGAAUCACUGGGCUUAAAGCGCGUGUAGGCGGAUCGUUAAGUACCUUGUGAAAUCCCACGGCUCAACCGUGGAACUGCUGGGUAUACUGGCGGUCUUGGGCCACUCAGGGGUUGCCGGAACAAACGGUGGAGCGGUGAAAUGCGCAGAUAUCGGGAGGAACACCGAUGGCGAAGGCAGCACUCUGGGCCGGCACUGACGCUGAGGAGCGAAAGCGUGGGGAGCGAACAGG